GGGUCAGUAGGUUGGUCGUGCCACCGGUACGUACUGGUCUCACUGAUUCCUCCUUCCUGAAGAACCGUAAUGCCAUUAAUUUGGUGUUGCGGGGAAACAAGACUGUUACUUUGAAAAAAUCAGAGUGUUUAAAGCAAGCUAACGCUUGAAUACAUUAGCAUGGAAUAAUGAAAUAGGACGAUCGAUCCUAUUUUGUUGGUUUCUAGGAUUGACGUA
rnacentral:rRNA from 1 species